UAGGCUGAAGCUCGCAGGUUUGAGCGCUUAGCUGUUAACUAAGAUAUUGUAGGAUCGAGACCUACCUGCCUAG
rnacentral:tRNA from 1 species